AACAGCUCAAAUUUGAAAUCUGGCGCAAGCCCGAGUUGUAAUUUGUAGAGGAUGCUUCUGGGCAGCGGCCGGUCUAAGUUCCUUGGAACAGGACGUCAUAGAGGGUGAGAAUCCCGUAUGCGACCGGUUGGCACCCGUCACGUAGCUCCUUCGACGAGUCGAGUUGUUUGGGAAUGCAGCUCUAAAUGGGAGGUAAAUGCCUUCUAAAGCUAAAUACCGGCCAGAGACCGAUAGCGCACAAGUAGAGUGAUCGAAAGAUGAAAAGCACUUUGGAAAGAGAGUUAAAAAGCACGUGAAAUUGUUGAAAGGGAAGCGCAUGCAACCAGACUUGUCGGCGGUGUUCCGCCGGUCUUCUGACCGGUCUACUCGCCGCCGACAGGCCAGCAUCAUCUGGGAGCGCCGGAUAAAGGUGUCGGGA
rnacentral:rRNA from 1 species